rnacentral:rRNA from 1 species
UGGGGAAUAUUGGACAAUGGGCGCAAGCCUGAUCCAGCAAUGCCGCGUGUGUGAAGAAGGCCUUCGGGGUUGUAAAAGCACCUUUUAUCAGGAGCGAAACGCUGUCGGCUAAUACCCGGCGGAACUGACGGUACCUGAGGAAUAAGCACCGGCUAACUUCGUGCCAGCAGCCGCGGUAAUACGAAGGGUGCAAGCGUUAAUCGGAAUUACUGGGCGUAAAGCGUGCGUAGGCGGUUUCUUAAGUCUGCUGUGAAAUCCCCGGGCUCAACCUGGGAAUGGCAGUGGAUACUGGGAGGCUAGAGUGUGUCAGAGGGUGGUGGAAUUCCCGGUGUAGCGGUGAAAUGCGUAGAGAUCGGGAGGAACAUCAGUGGCGAAGGCGGCCACCUGGGACAACACUGACGCUGAGGCACGAAAGCGUGGGGGAGCAAACAGGAUUAGAUACCCUGGUAGUCCACGCCCUAAACGAUGCGAACUGGAUGUUGGUCUCAACUCGGAGAUCAGUGUCGAAGCUAACGCGUUAAGUUUCGCCGCCCUGGGGCAGUACGGUCGCAAGACUGAAACUCAAAGGAAUUGACGGGGUCAU